UAAUAUUUGCAGUAGUGUGUGCAAAUUGGGCAAAAGUCAUUGUCGGAUCUUUAUUGUAUAAAAAUAUUAGAUUUUAUUUCCACGGAAAUAAAAUAACUAUAAUAAAUAAUAGUCGGAAACUAUAUUAAACUAUAAUAAAAUAAGUCGGAAAAAAUAUAAACUCGAUGAACUGUAAAGGUAGUAAAAGAUUUUGACGACUGGACUACGAAGGAAAGCGAGGCAUACGUUUCUGAGUGAAGCAUAUUAAAUGCGUGAAACAGCAUAUAUGACAGAAAUUCACUUUUGUGAUCAGCUAUGAAAUUAUUAAAAUUAUUAAGAAUUUCGGGGGGGCUGCAGCCCCCACAGCCCCCCCCCUGGCUACGCCACUGACCAUUACCGUUCAUAAAAUGUUAUUAUGAAGAUGGAAAGACAGUGUUGAUCAAUGUAGAUAGCAAAUCUAACGACAAUAUAUUCCAGCAUCUUAUAAGAAUAGCAGAAAAGCCAAAAGAAAUAUUAAUCAAAGAAGCUGCUGUUAAAGAAAAGAACAAUCCAACAAACUUUGGAGUGGGUUGUGGAGCUGCUUACAUAUGUCAUGUCUCAGGACAAGUAUCAUGUCCAAACGUAGUGCCUUUGACAGGUCACAUGCGUGUAAAAUUCAUAUGUGAAAGACUACAGAAUAAAGAAUAUGCAAA